UACGGAGGGGGCUAGCGUUGUUCGGAAUUACUGGGCGUAAAGCGCACGUAGGCGGCUUUGUAAGUUAGAGGUGAAAGCCCGGGGCUCAACUCCGGAAUUGCCUUUAAGACUGCAUCGCUAGAAUUGUGGAGAGGUAAGUGGAAUUCCGAGUGUAGAGGUGAAAUUCGUAGAUAUCGGGAGGAACACCUGUGGCGAAGGCGGCCAUCUGGACGACGAUUGACGCUGAGACGCGAAAAGCGUGGGUAGCAAACAGG
rnacentral:rRNA from 1 species